GGCCUAACACAUGCAAGUCGAGCGGAAACGACACUAACAAUCCUUCGGGUGCGUUAAUGGGCGUCGAGCGGCGGACGGGUGAGUAAUGCCUAGGAAAUUGCCUUGAUGUGGGGGAUAACCAUUGGAAACGAUGGCUAAUACCGCAUGAUGCCUACGGGCCAAAGAGGGGGACCUUCGGGCCUCUCGCGUCAAGAUAUGCCUAGGUGGGAUUAGCUAGUUGGUGAGGUAAUGGCUCACCAAGGCGACGAUCCCUAGCUGGUCUGAGAGGAUGAUCAGCCACACUGGAACUGAGACACGGUCCAGACUCCUACGGGAGGCAGCAGUGGGGAAUAUUGCACAAUGGGCGAAAGCCUGAUGCAGCCAUGCCGCGUGUAUGAAGAAGGCCUUCGGGUUGUAAAGUACUUUCAGUUGUGAGGAAGGGUGUGUAGUUAAUAGCUGCACAUCUUGACGUUAGCAACAGAAGAAGCACCGGCUAACUCCGUGCCAGCAGCCGCGGUAAUACGGAGGGUGCGAGCGUUAAUCGGAAUUACUGGGCGUAAAGCGCAUGCAGGUGGUUCAUUAAGUCAGAUGUGAAAGCCCGGGGCUCAACCUCGGAACUGCAUUUGAAACUGGUGAACUAGAGUACUGUAGAGGGGGGUAGAAUUUCAGGUGUAGCGGUGAAAUGCGUAGAGAUCUGAAGGAAUACCAGUGGCGAAGGCGGCCCCCUGGACAGAUACUGACACUCAGAUGCGAAAGCGUGGGGAGCAAACAGGAUUAGAUA
rnacentral:rRNA from 1 species